rnacentral:piRNA from 1 species
UGCUAUGUACUCCAGGAAGGCCUUGUAU